rnacentral:rRNA from 1 species
UACAGAGGUCUCAAGCGUUGUUCGGAUUCAUUGGGCGUAAAGGGUGCGUAGGUGGCGCCAUAAGUCAGGUGUGAAAUCUCGGGGCUUAACUCCGAAACUGCAUUUGAUACUGUGGUGCUUGAGGACUGGAGAGGAGACUGGAAUUCACGGUGUAGCAGUGAAAUGCGUAGAUAUCGUGAGGAAGACCAGUGGCGAAGGCGGGUCUCUGGACAGUUCCUGACACUGGAGGCACGAAGGCCAGGGGAGCAAACGGG